rnacentral:lncRNA from 1 species
AUCAAUUUGUCAUGUUUUAUUUUUCAUGAAUUCAUAUCGAUGAUUGAAACUCAUCAGAAGAAACAUUUUCUCUUCAAGGCUUCAUAAAUAUGUGAAUCUAAUAUUUGCCAUGAGGAGAAGUGUGUCAGUCCUCAGAGCUCAGACAGUAGCUGCUCAUGUGUUUGUCCUUUCUAUAGAAAACAGUCCACAGACUGUUACAGAGGAAGGUCUCAGUGCUUCACUCAGUCUGUUCACACUGUGACAGAAACACACAUGAACACAUGUUCAUUUAUUCACAUGUUCACACAUGGAGAGAAGUGACAGAAUUCUGAAGCAAACACUGAAUGUGUGUGUGCACUGUUCCACUUACAGCAUGUGACAUCAAUAAUAACAGCAUCAGAGAUGUUGGUGUGUUUACAGACUCACCAAAAUAAAAGCCUGAGAACCAAACCUGGUCUGAGGCUCUGAUGCUAAGCUAACAGCAUGAUUAGCCUGUUAGCAUCUACAUGAAGGAUCAAUAACAACAUGCUGACUGUGUGUUUCUGUGUCAUGUUGCUGUGUUUGUGUGAAGGUGUGAGCUCUGCUAUGAGUCAGUGUGAGGACAGAGAGGAGGGAGUCCCUCCCUCUAAAAGCCCUCUGUGUGGGGACCAUGAGAGCCGGACCAAAGCUCAGAGGUAAGAGGACCGUCUCUGACUGUCCAUGACUCUUCUCCAUGUCAGAGCUCACACUCACAUUAUUCACACAUCUGUGUGUUCAAGAACAAAGCAGCAGCACACUGCACACUCUGCUGGACCUGGACCUGGACCUGGACCUGGACCUGCCAGCUGUGUGUCCAUGAAGAGUGAUUGGUCAAAGGAUCGGCCCCCUGAUUUCAAAGAUGUUGAUCCAUCUGAGGGUCAAAGGAUCCAGGAUGUGAGAGCAGACUCUGCUGGACCUGGACCCAGCUGUGUGUCCAUGAAAAGUGAUUGGUCGAUGGGUAGGCCCAUUGAAUUCAAAGCUGAUCAGCCAUCUGAUGAUCAAAGGUAAGAAUCACUCUGGAAGUGUCUCCAUGCUGUGAUGAGCUCUGCUGGACUCUUGGGGUUGUAUGUGUCUGUUUGCUCUGCAGGUGG